GACGAACGCUGGCGGCGUGCUUAACACAUGCAAGUCGAACGGUGAAGCGCCUUCCUUUUUGGUGGGUGUGGAUGAGUGGUGAACGGGUGAGUAACACGUGAGUAACCUGCCCCCUUCUUCUGGAUAACCGCAUGAAAGUGUGGCUAAUACGGGAUAUUCUGGGUCUGUCGCAUGAUGGGUCUGGGAAAGAUAUUGUUUCGGUGGGGGAUGGGCUCGCGGCCUAUCAGCUUGUUGGUGGGGUGAUGGCCUACCAAGGCGGUGACGGGUAGCCGGCCUGAGAGGGUGGACGGUCACACUGGGACUGAGACACGGCCCAGACUCCUACGGGAGGCAGCAGUGGGGAAUAGUGCACAAUGGGCGCAAGCCUGAUGCAGCGACGCCGCGUGAGGGAUGGAGGCCUUCGGGUUGUGAACCUCUUUCGCCAGUGAAGCAGGCCUGCCUCGUUUGUGGGUGGGUUGACGGUAGCUGGAUAAGAAGCGCCGGCUAACUACGUG
rnacentral:rRNA from 1 species